rnacentral:rRNA from 1 species
GACGUAGGGCGCAAGCGUUAUCCGGAAUUAUUGGGCGUAAAGAGCUCGUAGGCGGUUUGUCGCGUCUGCCGUGAAAGUCCGGGGCUCAACUCCGGAUCUGCGGUGGGUACGGGGCAGACUAGAGUGAUGUAGGGGGAGACUGGAAUUCCUGGUGUAGCGGUGAAAAUGCGCAGAUAUCAGGAGGAACACCGAUGGCGAAGGCAGGUCUCUGGGCAUUAACUGACGCUGAGGAGCGAAAAGCAUGGGGGAGCGAACAGGG